AUGCCUUUCAACGGCGCCGACCCGAUGUCCAUAGCGGCGGCGGCGCCGGCUUGGCGCAGGGACUACAAGCUCGACUCGGCCAAGAUCUACGAAACGAAGGUGCAGUCCGACAUCGGCGCGGCACCUCGGCCGACGCUGCGGAGGCUCCACACGGGCCUGCCCGUCCGCAGCCUGCGAGACGACGGCAUCGUUUACUUGCUUGGGAAGAUCGACUACCAGGACAACGAGCAAACGGCGUGGGUGCUCGCCGUUGACAUGGAGACCAGGACGGUGCAGGGAGUGGCUGAGUUUGGGGCAGGCAACGCCAUUGGUUUGGGCCAAGCCUAUAUUGCCAGUGAUGUCUCCAAGUAG
rnacentral:rRNA from 1 species